UAAGGGGAAUUUUUCUUUGCUAUUUAUAGUGGAUAUAAUUAAAAUAUAUAAGGUAGUCUUAAUUUUCCUCUCUUCUCUUUUUAUUACUGUAAUUAUUAUUUACUGUAAAGGCAAUCACAUGCCUACAGUCUUUUGUUUCCAAUGUAUAUGCAUUUAUAUGGACCUUGGGACUACAGCAUUUACUUACCAAGAGACACAACAUCAUUAGGGAGUGUGCUAGGAUAAUUGCCUUGAGCAAUAAUGUCUUUUUUUCUGUUGAAAGCUCAAUGUGUCAUUGUUAUGCUUAAAUGUGUGCUUCAAAGAAUUACAUCCUUUAACGCACAUCCUCCCUGGGUAUGUACCGUGUCUUCCUUCUGUGGCAAGAAUAGAGUGUGCCAUAGGCAAGUUGCCAUUUCAACUGCCAGAAUGUAAGUGAGACUGCUACUCCUGCUAUCUGUUUUCUCCAUGAGUGAAACUAUUUCUCCGUCCAGUGACUGACUAUGCUGUUUUCCCUAGGUGAUUCCACUAGCUAGAUACAAUGAGGAGAUGUACUGAAGUUGGUAACUUGUAAGUCGAAUUUUCUUAAAUGUUAUUCCUUUUCAUUAAUUUGUUUAUUCAUUUUACAUCACAAUUGCAGCCUCUCCUUCUUCUCCUCCCAGUUCCACCCUCCUACCCCAUUUUCCCCAUCCCCCCACCAUGGGAACCAACCAGCCCUGACACAUCAACUGCAGCAGGACUAAGUACACUCUCUCCCACUGAGGCCCAGUUAGCCAGUCCAGCUAGGGUACAAGGAUCCAAAGGCAGGCACCAGAGUCUGAGUCACUGCUCCAGGUGCUAGGGACCCACAUGAAGACCAAACAGCACAUCUGCUCCAAAUGUGCAAAGGGCCUAGGUCCAGCCCCUGCAUGUCUUUGGUUGGUGUUUCAGUCUCUAUAAGCCUCAUGGGCCCAGGUUAGUUUUCUAUGUAGAUCUUCUUGUGUUAUCCUUGACCCCUGUGGCUCCCUCAAUCCUCCCCCCGACACUUUCACAAGACUCCCUGAACUCUGCCUGAUGUUUUGCCGUGGGUUUCCACAUCUGUCUCCAUCAGCAGCUGGAUGAAGCCUCUCAGUAAAUAUCAUUAAACACACAUGUUUGUGAGUAUCUUUGUUCUAUUACUACAUUGUUUUCAAAGUAGAAUUAUACAAUCAAGUGUGUAAAAAAUUAAACGGUUUUUCAGAGUCAUGUUAUUAAACAGUCCUUUAUUGUUGGACUAAUUUGUCCUCAGUAUAUAGGCCUACUAGGAAUGUAUGAAUGCUGUUUUCAGUAUAUACCUACUAAUGGUAAGGAUUGUCUUUUGACUGUUUUUGUUAAUUUAGUUAUCAAAAGAGUAUUUUCAUUUCAGACAGUAUGCUUAUCUACAUAUUUAAACAGUUCCUACCCAAGAAAACACUUUAAACUGCUACAUAAAGCAUGUAUAACCAUAUAUAAAUUCCUAUCUGAAAUGAAAACAUCCUUUUGAUAACUAACUAACUUAACAAAUACAGUUAGAGGACAACUCUCACUAUUAGUAGGUAUGAACUGGGAACAAUGUUCAUGUGUUCCUGGUAGGACUAUAUACUCGGUAUAAAUUAGUCCAACAAUAAAGGAGUUUAAUAAUAUGAGUCUGAAAAUUUGUUUGAAUUUUCACACACUUUAUAGUUCCACUUUGAAAAUUAUGUAAUAGUAAAGCAAAGAUACAAGUGUGUGUUUUAUGACAUUGGGGGUGGGGCAUCUCUGGAACAUGUCAUAUAUCUAGGACAAACCAGGAACCUGGGACAAGGGAGUCUCCUGGGAGGAUAUGGUUGUGACCCUAGCUUAGAAUUCUAGUAGCAGGGGAUAUGGAGCAUGAAGUGGCCACCUCGUGUAGCCAGGCAGGACUUCCAGUGGAGGGAGAGUGGCACCAAUCCAACCACAAAACCUUUGACCCAAAAAGUGUCCUGCCUACAAGAUGUGCAGGGAUAAAGAUGCAACAGAAAUUGAGGGAAUGGCCAACCAAUGACUGGUCCAACUUGAGACCCAUCCCAUAGGAGAAAGCCCACCCCCGACAGUAUUAAUGAUACUUUGCUAUGCUUACAUCAGGAACUUAGAAAAAUAUAAUUCUUAUUUUAAGUAAGAAUAUAACCAAAGAUCUAUCUUCUUACAAAUCAAAAGAAUAUAGAUUCUGAGGUCACUGCGUGGGUAAAAGUGAACACAGUUGGGUAAAAGCUCUUGCCAUGUCACCAUAAACAGCAGGAUCUCCUUCAUUUACACAGGCAAAUGACUUUUAAUUGGUUAUGUGUACCCCACUUUCUAUCCAUUUAUCUAUGAACAUUUAUACUACUUUCAUGUAUUAACGAUUGUAAAUAAUAGUGAAAAUGGGGAUGCAAAUAUUUCUUUCAGAAACCAUGGUGGGUUUUUGACUUCUGUCCGAGUAUCUGAUUGCUCGAUCAUAUGGUAAGUCUGUUUGAAACCUUUGAGGUGCCUGCCUCUGUGUUGUUUUCCACAGGGGUUACACCAGUUUCUGUUUCUGUUAAAAGUAACAAGGGUUUCCUUUUAUUCACCUCUGUCAUACUACAUUUGUCUUCCUUUGUUUUUUUGUUUGUUUGUUUGUUUGUUUUUUAGGUAAUUUGAUAUUGUAACUCAUGUAAGGUCAGAUCUCAGUGGGAUUUUACAUUUUUCUCCUAUGAUUAUUGAUGUUCAGUACUUUCUUCAUACUUAUUAGUCUUCUAAAUGUUUUCUUCAAAGAAAUUCCUUUAGGUGUUCUUUUGAAAAUUAGAUUAUUUGUCUUCUUUGUUCUGUGAUAUUUUCCUAUUAGAUUAUAGCAAUUGCUUUAUAUUACCAUUCUUCCAAAUAUAUAGUUGACACAAAUAUUCUGUAUAUAUCAUAUGUUACAUUUUUACUUUGUUGAUUGUUUUUUGAUGUACAUACCUAAUACACAGUAAAAUUUUAUUUAAAAUUUAUUCUUUUUCCA
rnacentral:lncRNA from 1 species